AUGCAAGUCGAACGGUAACAGGAUAGCUUGCUAUCGCUGACGAGUGGCGGACGGGUGAGUAAUACUUAGGGAUCUGCCUCUGUGUGGGGGAUAACUAUUGGAAACGAUAGCUAAUACCGCAUAAUGUCUACGGACCAAAGCGGGCUUCGGCUCGUGCGCAGAGAGGAACCUAAGCGAGAUUAGCUAGUUGGUGAGGUAAAGGCUCACCAAGGCGACGAUCUCUAGCUGUUCUGAGAGGAAGAUCAGCCACACUGGAACUGAGACACGGUCCAGACUCCUACGGGAGGCAGCAGUGGGGAAUAUUGCACAAUGGGGGAAACCCUGAUGCAGCCAUGCCGCGUGUGUGAAGAAGGCCUUCGGGUUGUAAAGCACUUUCAGUUGUGAGGAAAGUUUAGUAGUUAAUACCUGCUAGAUGUGACGUUAGCAACAGAAGAAGCACCGGCUAACUCCGUGCCAGCAGCCGCGGUAAUACGGAGGGUGCGAGCGUUAAUCGGAAUUACUGGGCGUAAAGCGCACGCAGGCGGUCUGUUAAGCUAGAUGUGAAAGCCCCGCGCUCAACGUGGGAGGGUCAUUUAGAACUGGCAGACUAGAGUCUUGGAGAGGGGAGUGGAAUUCCAGGUGUAGCGGUGAAAUGCGUA
rnacentral:rRNA from 1 species